UCAAGUUUUGAGAUGAUGCUCCUUCCUCUCACUCGCUCACUCUCCCUCGCCGCCGCUCACUCACUCUCCCUCGCCGCCACUGAGACACGCAGAGUAACUGCCAUCCUCACUGUGCCGCCCUUGCCAUCACGAAGAGUAGCUGCCAUCCUCACUGUGCCGUUUCAGUUUCAUUUUCCUUGUUGGAUUGUUGUGGAGUUUGGUCAGAUCGAAGCUUUCUUCGUUUCUCUCUCUUGAAGAAUCUGGGUGUGGGCGUGGGCGUGGCAGAGUCCAGAAGAGUUUUGAGAGAGUUAUUAUUAUUAAUAGAAAAUGAAGGGGGUUCAGCGGCGGUGUUGGAGUUGCUUUGGACUAAUUCAGCUCUCAGCUUAAGCUUUAGUUUCUUGUUUGAUAGAACCAUUCUGCUCUCUCAAACUCUCAACAGACACAGUCACAAAACCCAAGAAAGUGUUUUGGGGAAGACGCAAACAAACGACGCUGUACAUUCGGAGGGUAUAACUAACAAGUUAGUUGUUGCACACAUAUAUAGCUGGUGACAUGUUCAAAAGAUCGUAACUCAAAGUUAUUCCAUGCUGUUCUUGGUGGUCUUGGACAAUUUGGAAUCAUCACAAGGGCUAGAAUUGCUCUCGAACCAGCUCCUCACAGAGUAUGUGUAUGUCUCCUAGGCAGUCGUGUCUCCAGCAAAACCUCCAGAAAGCCCGGAUGAAGAGGUCGAUGAUCCCUUGUACCUGAUGACAUUGACCAUCACACAACUGUUUUUGAAGCCGCUCCAGGUUAUGUGGGAUGCUACCAUAUUCGGGGUGUUUAAUCAAAACUUCUCGUUGUAUAUAAAACACGAAGAUCUCUCUGAAAUUGCACAUGGUGGUAAAUGUCUUAGCAUAUUUGUUAUACAGUUGUGGAUUCUGUAAGUCAUUUUAGAUUACUAUUAAUUACCAAAGUAAUUGUUUUAAAUUCAUACAUAAUUAACUUUGACUUAACAACACAGCCAUCUG